GGCGAAUGUAGCCAAGUGAAUCAAGGCAGU
rnacentral:tRNA from 1 species